GGGGAUGUGGCUCAAGUGGUAGCGCGCUCGCCUAGCAUGCGUGCGGCCCGGGUUCGAUCCCCAGCAGCACCA
rfam:Ictidomys tridecemlineatus contig000660, whole genome shotgun sequence.